ACAGCCAAUGGCUGUACCUCAGCCUCAGCAAACAGCAAGUCCUGUCAGUGCUGCAGAUACCAUUUGUUGCUUUAUUUUAUGGGAAGGAAGGGACACCUCACUACAAAGCCUGCUUUCCUCUGCCCUGGAUGUUUGGAGCUUUUAUAUCCUUGUCCAGAUUUUACCCUAUGGCAAAACUCUGCUCUGAACAAGUUCCCAAGCAUGUUUAACAUUUAAUGAGACUGACAGCAGUCAGCUUUAGGCUUAAAGACAGAAAUAGCAGAUCCUUAUCUGAACUCCUAUGAACUGGGUGAGGGAAAAGCAUUUUGGUCUGGGUCACAGAUGGAGUUUCCAACAAGUUCCAGCUUGGUUUCUAUAAGGCUAGCAUAAAAAGAUAAAGACAACCUUUGACUACAGCUUUGGGAGUUUUACCUCUGUUACCUCAAAUGCUGGUAUAGCUAGGCCUUUAUUUUAUAAGUUGCAGAGAGUACAAAGCAAACCUGUCCUAUGCAAACAGUUUCUCAUAACAUCAGUACCAGCCUGGCAUGAGAAGGGUAAUUUCUUUUGAAUUUCUUGGCUCAUUUAAUGUAGUUUAUUUCACACACGGAAGACCUGGAUGCUAAAACUUAGCAUAGGUGAAAUUUAAUUUCAAGCUUGAACACAAAAUGUGGUGCCUGGUUCUAAUUUCCAGCUUGCUUUAACUUGUGCUCAGCACCACUCACUAGAUUACUGAAAGCACUCUUUCUCUUGGUGCUCCCCUUACUUCUGCUUAGGAUGAAUGUGAGAAAGAAUCCUAAACACAAAUGUCUCACAAAUGUUGGGGUAAGUUUGACCUGGACCCAAAGUUUUCAGAGCCUUCUUUUUAAGUAUAAAAACUUCCCUUCUACCUACGUUUUGGAGUUUAGCUUGACUGACCUAUUAUCCUGCCCUGGGAGGGUUUAAUUUCUCUACUCAAUUCUGCACAGUCUUUUUUUCCCCAAUCAGUAUUUCGUACGGGUUUUGUGUCCAAGCCAAAGAGCACAAACACCUUAUGAGGAUGUCUUCAUGGGCUUCAGGCACAGCUUACAUUAAGCUAUGACACGUGCUUCCACGUCCCUUCAGUUGGGGGUUUUGACAAUGUUUUGAAGAAAUUUGGUUCUCUCUUACUAAAAACAAGAAAUCCUGGAUUUGAUUUGAGUCACUCUUUGCUUCCUUCUUCCUCUGCUUAAAUGUUUGACAACUUAGGGAUGUCCUCCCAAGCAGUGAUAACUUUUCAUUCAGAAACCUUCAGUAACCUGCUGAUUGAUAUAUAGCCACUGGCUAAAAAAAAAAGCCACACUUUUCCUGGACUUACUCCAAUAGCUUUGAUCUAGAAACUUAAGAAAUUUGCAAAUGUUUUGUAAUAGGAAAGAGAAAGAUAUUUUACAGAAUGUUUAGGAAAUAUUGCCCAAAAUGAUACAAAUAUUGCCCAAAAUGAACUGUUACACCUAAGGUAGAGUGGAUAUAUGCAAUAGUAAAUACACAGCAAAGCUGAACUAUUUGUGGAGAAAGGAAAUUGCCUGCUUACCUUUGGGUAUGGAAAUGUGAGUGAACCAAAGUUUUUUAAAUGAAGUAAGUUGUAUGAUUUCAGUCCUCACCCUGUGGUGUGAGAACACCAACAUCGUGUCUUGGUCUCUUUUGGAAAUGCCUUAUCUUUCCCUUUUCCUCUUCCCACAGCAUAUUAUUGUAGUAUUGUUGCUGUCAGCUUCUCAUUCUGAUGGUGUUUGCUGCUUCUCCUAAACUUAAGUGAGACUUCACCCCUGCAGAGAAAGGAGCCGCCAGAGAAUGUUAGUACCAUCACAGCCACAUGCCUCCCUUAUCAGCUGGAGAGAACAAGGUCCCUGGGUAGGAUAGAGCAGCAAAACAGAUCUGAGAGACCCUUCAAUGACAUCUGCUUCUCUUUCCCUGCAACAUCUGAGUUGCCAAUCCUUUCUCCCAUCAUAGUGACUGGAGCAAGCUUCACCAGCCACAGGUCAAAGUCUCUGCAGCAUAACCUGGGGAUUUGCAUCCUGGCUUCCAGCGACCCAGCUGAGUAAAUCAUGGAACAUGCACUUCUGUUUGCAUCCUGUAAUGAAAUGGUUUCACAACCUCACCAAAAUAUGUGUGCUUCAGAGGGAAAACUCCUCAACACCCCAAGUCUCCCAGCUUCCUUCACCACCAUCUGCUCUUUUUUAUUUUUCAAGAAAUGAGAAUGUUUGCAUAAAUGAGAAUGUAGCCUUUGAAGCUGAACGUAAAAGAGUAAUUUCCUAUAGGAUCCUGUAAGAACUUUGCAUAGGAGGAACAAAAAGGCUCUGCAUAAGAUGUGUAAAUAGUUAUAUCACUCUGAUUUAUGUUGAAAACCUGUUUUACUUUUAGCUACAGGAGCUAUAAAAGACAGUCUGAAAUACUCUCCAGGCUUCCUAUCUUUCAUGAGAAGAAGUGUUUCACAACAAAAAUAAAAUAUAUAUGCUUGCUUGUA